AGUGGGGGAUAACGUAGCGAAAGUUACGCUAAUACCGCAUAUGCCCUGAGGGGGAAAGGKGGGGAUCGCAAGACCUYUCGCUUUCGGAGUGGCCGAUAUCAGAUUAGCUAGUUGGUGAGGUAAAGGCUCACCAAGGCGACGAUCUGUAGCUGGUCUGAGAGGACGACCAGCCACACUGGGACUGAGACACGGCCCAGACUCCUACGGGAGGCAGCAGUGGGGAAUUUUGGACAAUGGGGGCAACCCUGAUCCAGCCAUGCCGCGUGAGUGAAGAAGGCCUUCGGGUUGUAAAGCUCUUUCAGAUGGAAAGAAAUCGUGCAGGCUAAUACCCUGCGUGGAUGACGGUACUGUCAGAAGAAGCACCGGCUAACUACGUGCCAGCAGCCGCGGUAAUACGUAGGGUGCGAGCGUUAAUCGGAAUUACUGGGCGUAAAGCGUGCGCAGGCGGUUUUGUAAGACAGGUGUGAAAUCCCCGGGCUUAACCUGGGAACUGCAUUUGUGACUGCAAGGCUAGAGUAUGGCAGAGGGGGGUAGAAUUCCA
rnacentral:rRNA from 1 species